UACGUAGGGUGCGAGCGUUAAUCGGAAUUACUGGGCGUAAAGCGUGCGCAGGCGGUUCGUUAAGUCAGAUGUGAAAGCCCCGGGCUCAACCUGGGAACUGCAUUUGAAACUGGCGGGCUUGAGUGUGGCAGAGGGGGGUGGAAUUCCGCGUGUAGCAGUGAAAUGCGUAGAGAUGCGGAGGAACACCGAUGGCGAAGGCAGCCCCCUGGGCCAACACUGACGCUCAGGCACGAAAGCGUGGGGAGCAAUCAGG
rnacentral:rRNA from 1 species